UACAGAGGUCCCGAGCGUUGUUCGGAUUCACUGGGCGUAAAGGGCGCGUAGGCGGCCAGCACAAGUCAGUUGUGAAAUCUCCGAGCUUAACUCGGAAAGGUCAACUGAUACUGUGCGGCUAGAGUGCGGAAGGGGCAACUGGAAUUCUUGGUGUAGCGGUGAAAUGCGUAGAUAUCAAGAGGAACACCUGCGGCGAAGGCGGGUUGCUGGGCCGACACUGACGCUGAGGCGCGAAAGCCAGGGGAGCGAACGGG
rnacentral:rRNA from 1 species